rnacentral:rRNA from 1 species
GACGAACGCUGGCGGCAUGCCUAAUACAUGCAAGUCGAGCGAACAGAUGAAGUGCUUGCACUUCUGACGUUAGCGGCGAACGGGUGAGUAACACGUAAGGAAUCUACCUAUAAGCGGGGGAUAACAUUCGGAAACGGGUGCUAAUACCGCAUAAUAUCUUCUUCCGCAUGGAAGAAGAUUGAAAGACGGCUCUGCUGUCACUUAUAGAUGACCUUGCGGUGCAUUAGUUAGUUGGUGGGGUAACGGCCUACCAAGACGAUGAUGGAUAGCCGGCCUGCGACGGUGAUCGGCCACAUUAGGACGGAGACACGGCCCAAACUCCUACGGGAGGCAGCAGUAGGGAAUCUUCCGCAAUGGGCGAAAGCCUGACGGAGCAAUGCCGCGUGAGUGAAGAAGGCCUUCGGGUCGUAAAACUCUGUUAUAAGAGAAGAACAAAUUGUAGAGUAACUGCUACAGUCUUGACGGUAUCUUAUCAGAAAGCCACGGCUAACUACGUGCCAGCCGCCGCGGUAA